rnacentral:rRNA from 1 species
UACAGAGGGUGCGAGCGUUGUUCGGAUUUACUGGGCGUAAAGCGCGUGUAGGCGCUUCGCAAGUCGGAUGUGAAAGCCCUGGGCUCAACCCAGGAAGUGCACUCGAUACUGCCUAGCUAGAGUCCCGGAGAGGUUGGUGGAACUCUCGGUGUAGAGGUGAAAUUCGUAGAUAUCUGGAGGAAUACCGGGUGCGAAGGCGGCAUCCUGGACCGACAUUGACGCUGAUGAGCGAAAGCUAGGGGAGCAAACGGG